rnacentral:rRNA from 1 species
AUUGAACGCUGGCGGCAGGCCUAACACAUGCAAGUCGAGCGGAUGAAGGGAGCUUGCUCCUGGAUUCAGCGUCGGACGGGUGAGUAAUGCCUAGGAAUCUGCCUGGUAGUGGUUGAUAACGUCCGGAAACGGGCGCUAAUACCGCAUACUUCCUGAGGGAGAAAGUGGGGGAUCUUCGGACCUCACGCUAUCAGAGGAGCCUAGGUCGGAUUAGCUAGUUGGUGGGUUAAAGGCCUACCUAGGCGACGAUCCGUAACUGGUCUGAGUGGAUGAUAAGUCACACUGGAACUGAGACACGGUCCAGACUACUACGGGAGGCAGCAGUGGGGAAUAUUGGACAAUAGGCGAAAGCCUGAUACAGUCAUGCCGAGUGUGUGGAGACGGUCUUCCGAUUGUAAAGCACUUCAAGUUGGGAGGAAGGGCAGUAAGUUAAUACCUUGCUGUUUUGACGUUACCAACAGAAUAAGCACCGGCUAACUUCGUG